rnacentral:rRNA from 1 species
AGUCUGACGGAGCAACGCCGCGUGAACGAAGAAGGUCUUCGGAUUGUAAAGUUCUGUGAUUCGGGACGAAAGGGUUUGUGGUGAAUAAUCAUAGACAUUGACGGUACCGAAAAAGCAAGCCACGGCUAACUACGUGCCAGCAGCCGCGGUAAUACGUAGGUGGCAAGCGUUGUCCGGAAUUAUUGGGCGUAAAGCGCGCGCAGGCGGUUUCUUAAGUCCAUCUUAAAAGCGUGGGGCUCAACCCCAUGAGGGGAUGGAAACUGGGAAGCUGGAGUAUCGGAGAGGAAAGUGGAAUUCCUAGUGUAGCGGUGAAAUGCGUAGAGAUUAGGAAGAACACCGGUGGCGAAGGCGACUUUCUAGACGAAAACUGACGCUGAGGCGCGAAAGCGUGGGGAGCCAACAGGAUUAGAUACCCUGGGUAGUCCACGCCGUAAACGAUGGAUACUAGGUGUAGGAGGUAUCGACCCUCCUGUGCCGGAGUAACGCAAUAAGUAUCCCGCCUGGGAAGUCGAUCGCAGAUUAAACUCAAAGGAAUUGACGGGGCCCGCACAAGCGGUGGAGUAUGUGGUUUAUUCGACGCAACGCGAGAACCU